ensembl:lncRNA
AUUCCAAUGGUGAGCAUGUACUCAGUCUUCAGUGCUUACAAUAUUCCUUUUUUCUCAUCAUGUCUACACUGGAUUUUCUCACUCAGCUACUGUAUGUGCACUGCUUCAUCCUUAUUGUCAGUGUACCUCCAUGUAUACUGCGUAGUCUGAAAUGCAUUAUAGUAACCUGUAUCUUCUGGGAAUUCUCUGUCUCCAUGAACCACGGCAGCAUUGAGUGGAGCAGAAACCGAAUUUCGGCCUUGAGAAAUCAAACUCCCUAGAUAAAGUCAUGAAGAUGCAGGUGUUUUAUGAAUUAUGUCUAAUAUUAAAUAACAGCUAUCAACAAAAUAAUCCGCCCAUGCCUUCUAUUCACCAAAAUAAUAGCAACAUAAAAAUACAUAUCAUAAAGUAGACGACCUCCAACAGUUUCCCUCUACAGCUACGUUAAAUGUACUUAAUCCAGUGUGGAUGGCAACAUAAAGCAACUUUUAUUCAUAUCCCCAUGAUUCUGCUUCACCUCAAUGAAAUGAAUACCGCUUUCAAAGAAAAUUGAAAACCAAAUCAAAACCAAAAAAACCCUACUGUCAUUAUAAUACCUGCAGAGUGAUACCACUAACGGACCUGACUGUUUGUUUCUAAGGAAGAACAGCUGUGCAACAGACUGUCUGAACAGUCACUAUUACAGAAUGCAACAUGGAUCACUGACACAAAGGAAGCACUACACCAGCUGGCUUUCUGUCUUAGAGCAUUUCUAUUCCUAGAUGAUUUACCUGUUCUCAGUCCUGUCACCUUAGCACUUCUACUACCCAAUUAAAAAAUGAUGUUGCUGAAUUCUCUCUGCUGUAAAUUAAAUAUGUUAUUUAUCAGAUCAAACUGCUAUGGUUUUUUUUAAACUUUGCAAUAUAUGACUUAUUUUUAAACUUAGCUGCUUGAUUAUUUAUUUAUGGUAUAUUUUGUUCUCUUGUAGAGUUUAGAUCAGAAAAAUUCUUUUCUAAUGUAUUCACAUGCAGUGAUCUACAUUUCCUAAUCAUAAUCAUGUCAGCAAAAGCGGAGCUGCUCUUAGGAUAACGUUUUAGUCUAGAAAAUGAUUUCCCUUUAAAAUGGAUUCAAUGGACAUGAUGAUAUAAAAAGAAGAUGCAAAAUUACACACAACAGUUUGCAUAAUCAAAACAGAUAUGUUUUGUAUUCAGGGAAGAUUUCUUUUUGCUACAUUAAAUGGAAGAAAAUAAACCUUUUGGAAUUCUGCAAGUGUGCUGUGGAUGUAAAGGCGGUAGCUGUGGAAUUCCAGCAGGAUUAUGAGAAGGAUGUACAGAAAUUAAAAUAAAUAAAUUAAUAAAAAUCAGUCAAGAUAAUUAAGAAUUAUAUCAAAGGACAAGUGGAUUUAAAAAAAAAAAAUAACAAUAGUCAUUUUAUUUCAAAUUGGAACUGUGCUUCAUUUUCUGCUUUAUAACUAAAGAUAAAUUUAUGAAAGCUUAAAAUAUAGAGAUUUUUUUGUGCCAGAAAUUUACGGGUCCUCUUUUAAAUAACUGUGAGUUCAAAUGAGAUAUAAUGAAUGUGGAACUUUAUUCCGUAAAUAAUGC